rnacentral:rRNA from 1 species
AGUGAACGCUGGCGGCAGGCCUAACACAUGCAAGUCGAGCGGCAGCGCGUCCGACCACCCUCGGGUGGUCGGAUGGCGGCGAGCGGCGGACGGGUGAGGAAUGCAUCGGAAUCUGCCUCGUUGUGGGGGAUAACGUAGGGAAACUUACGCUAAUACCGCAUACGACCUACGGGUGAAAGUGGGGGACCUUCGGGCCUCACGCGAUGAGAUGAGCCGAUGCCGGAUUAGCUAGUUGGCGGGGUAAAGGCCCACCAAGGCGACGAUCCGUAGCUGGUCUGAGAGGAUGAUCAGCCACACUGGAACUGAGACACGGUCCAGACUCCUACGGGAGGCAGCAGUGGGGAAUAUUGGACAAUGGGGGGCAACCCUGAUCCAGCCAUGCCGCGUGUGUGAAGAAGGCCUCGGUUGUAAG